AUCUAUAUAUUAAUACGCCUUGUGUGUGUGUGCGCACGGUGAGGCCACGUCACACAAAUCACAGGUCACUUUCUUACGACGUGGCGUUACGCUAAAAUUUACCAAGUUAAAGAAAACGCAAAUCAGGGGGUUACUAUAUAAAUAUUUAAUUCUCUUUUCUUAUUUUUUUUUUAAAAUAAAACUCUUUUUCCUUACUCAUUAAAACUAAAUUUUAUUUUAAUUUCAAAUGGUUUUAUUUGUUUUUUUGUUGUAAAAGCCCCGCUGGUCGUUUGGGAUAGAAUAAUUAAAUUUUACCCCCGGUUUACCAUGUGCGCGCCGUAUCUCACGGAAACAAAGUUUAUUAACUGAAAAAUGAAAACCGAAGCGAAGAAAGUUGUCUCUUUUUCAAAGCAAUCCUGAAAAAAGUUAUUUCAAACAAGGUUUACUCAUCACGAGAGCGACUGUUGAUGUCGAGCGAGAAUAAAAAAAGUUUAUGUUGUUGCCAGAAAUAUUUGUUAUAAAGAAGAAAAACGUACGAUGAUAAAACGUCAAAAAGAGAACUGAUUGGAAAUGUAUCAGACAAUUGUAGCUAGCUAUACAUUUUCAAUUUGUUUUCUUUGGGAUGAAGCGAAGUUUAAUAAUCGAAGUAAAAAACUGAUUGGUCUUUUAUCCACAGACGCUAGCUAACUGAGAAAGCCAAAGAAAGGCAGGUGUGUUGUUUAGUUUAUCUGGUAAAGAGAUAAGUUUAGGUGUGUAACGUUUUUUUUAACCGUUUUAACUUUCAGAGCUCAGCUUUUCCUUUAAAUUUUUAGUUCCUUGUUGCGUCUUGAGCUUAAAUGCGUUUUCUUUUGACACAAUUUUUAUAAGAAUCUAAAAUGUAAAGCGACGUUUUGAAGCCGUUUACACGCUUCCAGCUAAACUUUCCCCUUAAUAUGAAGUUAAAUAUGUUUUGUCUUUAGCCUGAACAUAUUUAACAUUUAUUGUAAGAAUAUACUCUAAACAAUUGGUCAGAAUAUCGUAAGAAUAUGUCUAAGCUUGGUUGUUUCUUUUAAUAUUAAAAAUUUGUAUGACUGAACCUCUUUCUCUCCAAAACAAUGGGCAAGUACACCAGGGAAAGCUAAGAACAUGAAGGCGGAAACGAAAAAAACACUAUUCUUAUAAAAUACAGCGUGUAUAUAAUAGAUAAGAUUUUAUAUAAAAUGUUGAAAGUAUUUUUUUGUUGUUACUGUUUUUAACGCUACGAAGUGGUUGAUGUCGUUAUAAUAAACCUUAAUGUAAACAAAGUUAAAUCAAUGUUUACAUCUGUUACGUUACCGUUUAAAAUAAUAUUCGAUUCUUCAAUUCGAAAACACUGCAUUGUUAUCAUGCACUGCACGUUUGCGCAUUGGGAAGGUUGCUAUAUGCAAUAGACUAGCUAAUUUGGUAUGAUGCAUUAGAAUCUGUACGUUGUGGAAACUUUGCAAUAACCUUAUUUGUGUGACUUAUCGAUUUUUUCUAAUGUCUGGUAUACCAUUUUCCCUUUUAUAUUUCGGGUAUGGCAAAGCAAGUAUAUAGUUUUAACAGAUUUGUUAGCCACCUUCGAUUUUGUUAAACUUUUUGCAUUUUUAUUUGUUGCUGGACAUGCUUAUAUUUUUAAGCGUUCUGUUUCAGCGGGUACAAAUAUAACGCAGAUUGUGAGCAACUUCAAUCCCAGGGUUUUUUUCUCUUUUAUUGUUAUUUUUUUAUUGCUGCACAUAUUUAUUUUUUUGGACGUUUUGUUCUAGUGGUUAUAAACUAGAAUAAUACAAAUUGUGACUUUUAAAAAUUCAUAUUACUGUGUUGUACGUUUUUGUUUGGUAUCCCUUACAUCGGUUUAAUGAGAGAUUCAGUGGAUUCCCCCACGGGUAUUCAGCUAGUCUUAUAUAUUAAUUCCCUUGCGUGAGCAAAACUGUGAGUCCACGACACGGAAAUCACGGGUCACUUUCUUAUGACGUGGCCGUACGCUAAAAUUUAACUAAAAAAAUUAGAAAUGUACUGCAUAGAAAUCGCACAUAAGGUGUAAAUAUAUAACCCGCUGCUAAUAACGAUAUAAAUAUAUAUACCCUUAUGCCAAAAAACUCUAUGUUAGCAUAUAUAUAUAUAGGUAUCGCUACAUAUGAAACGGUAUUAGAUAUUUACAAAGCAUACGGACUGUUAAAUGAAGUUCCUAGCAUAAAACGGAAAUUGUGUUUACGAAAAAGAUGGCUGUUCUUUUUGAGUAUUCUCUACUCUUUCAUUCAAAAUAAGUCUUUAAAAAAACAUUUGAAGAAGAGCAUGGUUUUAUAAAUUAAUCAUAGCAAGGUUCUGUAAGGUUUUUUCAUGUUUUAUUUUCAGUUUUGAUUAUAUUAUUGUUGCCAGACAUGUUUUAUAGCUAGCAUCAUAAAAAGCCAACCACCACCAACAACUAGUAGCUAGCUAGCUAGGAAUAUAUAUAUAUAUAUAUGUAGCCAUGUUCUUUAUACCUAGCUAAGUCUCCAGUUUAUAUUUAAGUGACUAGCUAUUAGCUGCUGUAGCUAGCUAAUGCUAGCUUUAAACUAAAGAUUCCCAGUAUAUAUAUAUUCCCACAAAACAAAUUUAAAACGUUAUUAACCCUGAAAAUUUUAAACAUUUUCCUGGGUUUUUUUUGGUUUGCGAAGUUCUUUUCCUCCAAAUAUUCUGAAAAUAAAGUUCAGAAAUUACUUAUUUUUAAAAUGUAAAUUUAAUUUGUUUCAAAUUGUGGGCAAAAACCUUAAUUAGCAUGCUAAAAGAACUGACUUUUCUUAAUUUAGAAUUACUAAACACAACCAUUUUCUUACAAUUAGUGUAAACUUUUGUGCGUAUGGCUUAUAUUUAAUACACCAAAAGAGCUACUUUGUUGAUUUCAAUUUUAUACUCUUUGUAAGCUAUUUUUUUCUUCUUUUUGACAUUUCUGUUUUACCACUCAAUUUUUACAUUUUAUAAGUUAUUUGGAACAGAAUGGUAUGAAAUAGACCAAAAUACCUGAUCUUAGUUGUUUUUAAUUUACAGGCUGUGUCUGUGAAACUUUAAGGGGAACAUUUGGUGGAAGACAAUGGCAUGACAUAUACUGAUAGAACUGAUUUUUGUUGUGUUAGAUGUUAUAUCUGAACCUUUUUGACAUUUUAUGUUAAUUUUGCGAGGAAGGACCAUAUAUAUAUACACAGAAGAAGAAUUCAAUUUUACACCUUGCAAGCUUUGUUUUUCUAUAUUUUGUAUAAAUUCUUACUGGGGAGGACUCCGUGCAAUAUAUCGAAAUGACUGAUCCUUCUCGAUUUAAAUUUGAUGUGUUCUAAAUCGUAUAUAGUUUUGGAAAUUUUGUGUAAGAUUUAAUGGGUAAGGGCUAGAUGCAAUAUGUUACAAAAACUUUUUUUGUUGAAUCAGAAGCACUCCCUACAACCAUUCUUUUUUUUACAGUUUGUGAAGCUUUUGUGAGGAAAGAGUGUAUGCAAUAUUAUCGAAAUAACUGAUUUUUGUUGCAAACUGUUUUUCUUUGGCAUUUUGGAUUAAAAUAUUGUUUUAGAGGGCAUAUGCAGUAGAUAUAUGUACUGAAAUAGUUAAAUUUUGCAAACUUUGAUUUUGUCGUUACCUCUCAUUUUUUACAUUUUGAUUAAACUUUUGUGGGAGACCGUCGGUAUGCGAAGGACCAAAAUAAGAGAUUUUAGUAUUAUUUAGAAUUUGUAUUUUGUGUUGCAAAAUUGGUGCAAAAAUUGACAUAAAAUGAACUUAUAUACAGAUUGAUUGCUGUUGUUUAACAUGACUCAUUAUGACUGAUAUAUAUAUUUUAUGAAAAUUUGUGACAGAAUACUAUGUGAGAUUUGAAAUUUUGUUUACUUUAUUGAUGGUAAAACAGCAUGCAAAUUGCUAAAAGGACUUUAUUAAUUUUAGGUUUAAACACCGUUAUUUUGUUGGCAUUUUGUCUAAAGUUUGGUGAGGAGGGACUGUAUGCAAUAUAUCAAAUAAUGUUUUAUUGCAUUAUAAUUUGUCCUUGCAAAUCCCUUUUUUUACACCUUAGAUAAAAAAUUCUGUCAGAGGCACAAUUUAUUGUUUAUUUUUCACAUUGUGUGUCAACCUUUGGCAGGGUUUGCAAUGAACUAACUGAUUUUAACAUAUACAAUGAGAGAGAUUUGUGUUUGACAUUGAUCAGCUUUUUUGUAUAUAUGUGGCGUUUUAAGUGAUUUAAAUUUUAUGGGUGAGAUGUAUGUUGAAAUGCUUUUGGAAACUUCUUUCCGAAUAAUUUUCGCAUUUGUCAGAUGGUCAGAGCAAGUAAUUUUAGUAGAUUUAGAUUUUAAAUGUCACAUAAAUACUGCAGUUGUUGGACACCUUUAAUUUUUUUGGUCAUUUAUAUAAUAAUGCUGAUGUAAGAUGCGCACUGCUUAUGUUUUUUGAUGGACAUAUAUCUGCUACAUAAAUUAAAUGGAAUACAGUGGAUUCUUCCACGGGAAA